GAUGAAGAACGCAGCGAAAUGCGAUAAGUAAUGUGAAUUGCAGAAUUCAGUGAAUCAUCGGAUCUUUGAACGCACAUUGCGCCCGCCAGUAUUCUGGCGGGCAUGCCUGUUCGAGCGUCAUUUCAACCAUCAAGCCCCCGGCUUGUGUUGGGGACCUGCGGCUGCCGCAGGCCCUGAAAACCAGUGGCGGGCUCGCUAGUCACUCCGAGCGUAGUAACACAUCUCGCUCAGGGCGUGCUGCGGGUUCCGGCCGUUAAAAAGCCUUAUUUACCCAAGGUUGACCUCGGAUCAGGUAGGAAGACCCGCUGAACUUAAGCAUAUCAAUAAGCGGAGGA
rnacentral:misc_RNA from 1 species